rnacentral:rRNA from 1 species
GAUGAACGCUGGCGGCGUGCCUAACACAUGCAAGUCGAACGAAAAGACGCGAAGCUUGUUCCUUUCUCGUUAGCGGCGGGCGGGUGUGUAACACGUGGAUAACCCACUUCUCUUCCUGGGAUAACUGCGGAAAUCCGUAUCUAAUCCCGUAUAAUAUCUUCUACGGUAUGGUUCAGUAGAGAUUGAUCGGUUUGGUGUCACUUCUAGACGUAUCCGCUGCGUAUUGGCUAGUUGGUAAGGUAACGCCUUACCAAGGCGACGAUGCGUAGCCGAGCUGAGAGGGUGAUGGGCCACACUGGAACUGAGAGACGGUACAGACUCCUACGGGAGGCAGAAGUAGGGAAUCUUGGGAAAUGGGCGAAAGCCUGACGGAGCAACGCAGCGUGGGUGAAGAAGGGCUGCGGGUCGUAAAACUCUGUUAUUGGGGAAGAACAAAUGUGCAAGUAACUAUGCACGUCUUGACGGUACCUAAUGAAAAAGCAACGGCUAACUACGUG